UGGUGACAAGUCGAUCAGCUGUGCUCGCUCGAGAAGUCGGUCUUUAAAGCGUGGUGUUGCUGGCGUGGAGGGUGGGUUACUAGGGGUGGAAGAAGGCGGGUGUUUAUUGUUUUUAAUAAGGUCAUAAGGAGGAGAAGCGGUGAGUGAGUGUUACAGAAAAACAUCAAAGCUGAACUGUAGUUUUUGGACAUUUCUUGACUUUUUCGCUGUUAUUGUCGCAGCCGGGGGGGUCCUUGGGAGGGUUUGCAGCCUCGCUCUCUCUCGCUGGAGUCAGUGUGGCGGGCAGGGACAGUCCAAGCGCUCAUAUACAAAGCCAGCACGUUUCACUGUGUCUGCAGCAGCUGAGCGGUGCUGAGCACCACCACCACCACCACCACCACCACCAGCAGCAGCAGCAGAAGCAGAAGCAGAUCGGGGAGGAUUUGAGAGCACAGUUGGAGGAUCGACGACGCAUCGAUGAUGAAGCUCACCUGCUGUUUGCAGGUUGCUGGUCUGAGGUUGGAGGGUGCCGAGUGAGCGGAGGUGUUGCCGAAGCGCUGUCCGAGGUGCUGAAAAGCCCGCGGACAGAGCGCCGUUGUCGCCUUUCCAGUCGAGAUGACACGCACGAACUGACGUGAAUGCCAAGCAGCACAACGCGGCGGUUAACACGGCUCCCCUGGCCAGAGUGCACGGGACCGCGCGUCCUCUUGGCGUUAGAAACAUGGAGAGAAUUUUCCUGCUCGUCCUGAGCUGUCUCGGCGUCUCUCUGGUCACAGCGGAUAGCUUGUCGCCUCCCGUCAAUGUGACCAUCAGAGAGGUAAAAGCAAACUCUGCUGUGGUGUCAUGGGACAUCCCCGAGGGAGACCCAGUCAUUGGCUUUGCCAUCACACAGCAGAAGAAAGACGUGCGCAUGCUGCGAUUCAUCCAGGAAGUCAACACCACCACGCGAUCCUGUGCAUUAUGGGACUUGGAGGAAGAGACAGACUACAUUGUGCAUGUCCAGUCCAUCUCCAUGUCUGGGACGAGCCCACUGAGCGAACCGCUGCGCUUCCGGACGCCGAAGGAGGCCGAGACUCAGGCCUCUAAGAGUGAAGACGAAGUAACAAUGGAGGAAGUGGGACAGACGACCCAGCUGCGGGCUGGGGAGCUCAUCAUCAUCGUGGUGGUACUCAUCAUGUGGGCAGGUGUGAUCGCCCUCUUCUGUCGCCAGUAUGACAUAAUCAAAGACAACGAGCCGAACAACAACAAGGACAAAGCCAAAAACUCCUCAGAGUGCAGCACUCCCGAGCAUCCGACGGGGGGGCUGUUGCGCAGUAAGGUAUAACCCACCCCCCUCCCCUCCUCCUCUCCCUGGGUGUCUCCCCCUCAGCGGCGCCGGGCAGUUCCCCAAGAACAACAACAACAACAAUAGGAUGCCAUCUGUCAACAUCAUUGAGGUGUGACUGCCAGGACGUCUUCUCUUUACCUAAAAGACUUUGUGUUCUCACAAACAAGCGGGCCCCUUUUAAGCCCAUCUGCUUGUCAGGAUGACGCUGGGACUCUGGGCCCCUCGGCAGCGCCUUCUCUCCUUCGGGCCUGCCGCCGGAGCGAGGCCGCAGGACUCUGGGCGUCGAGCAUGCUCCCUCCGCCUGCGCCGGUGUGAAGAGGCAGCGGCUGCUCAGUGACUACUGCACUGUGGGGCGGCAGCGAUUAGAGCCGAAUGGCUCUGGUGUUGGAGAGACUGCAGAUAAACAGGCCCCAGGGACCAAAGCUGAUAAACAGAGCCAGAGACCUUUUCAUUCUCUCUGUCACCUUCUUCUCAGCGUCUUGCAGUGUUAUCAGUGACCGCAAAACCUGGGCAUUUCCCUUUUCUGGGUUGAAAUCGUCUCUUCUGCUUUAAUCUUUUAUAUCCACGCAUAACUUCAUCAUUACGUGUUGCAUUCUGUACUCUUAAGUGGGCUGUUAGGGUGUAGUUGUUUAAAUUUUUACAAGGUGCCACCAGUACAGUUUUGUUGUUCUGGUAUUUUUGUUUCAUUGAUCCUCUCUCGGGCAGAAGCUCUUUGCCAUCUUGUGGAUUCACUUGUUUUUUUCGCCCCCUCAGGGAAUCCAGACUCUACCACCUGGCUAAUUUAUGAGAUGUUUCUAAAAUGUGUUGUGACAACGCCAGAGCAGCUUUUGAGAGGGCUGCUACCAAAGCUGAAUCACCAGGACUCGAUCAACAAGAUAAAAACACUUAAAAGCAACCUCUGAUCUGAACAAAUAUUCACAGUAGAGUUCAUGAGAAGCCAGGUUUCAUCCUACUUCUUGUCCCUCAUGCUUUUAUUCUGAAAUGUUACAUUCCAUGUCCAGAAUGAGCCCUUUAGUAUUCCCUCGUGUCUUUCUCUCUGAGGGGGAUGAAUCUCAAAGCAUUCUGGAGAGGAGCAGAACUGCCAUAAUGGAGUGCAUUCAUCUAAUUAACAAACUCUAAAAGGGGCUGGACUCUCGGAAGAAGUGGUCUUUCCUCUUCAGAGACACGCAGGAGAUCUCUUAUAUCAGCAAUAACAGCCCUCAGAGGAAGUGCAGAAUCGAGGACUCGAACGCCGCAGCCUCUUUGAAUAAAAUCCCGACCUCUCAGCAUGUUGUAAUGUUCAGGCAGACGAAUUAACUGCACGUCCAGUUUGGAGGGAAUUAACUCCGAGCCCCAAACGUCCUUAAGCGCUGUUGUAAAAACUUUGGUUUCCAGUGGUUAGCAUGGGAUUU